rfam:Serratia sp. ATCC 39006 ctg4, whole genome shotgun sequence.
CUCAUCGUGAGGUGGGAUCUGAAGGAAGCUGAAGGCAAAAUGCUGGUCUGACGAACAGGAAGCAGAUUAGGCGGCACAGCGGGGUAAGGCGGCCAAUAUCGUCAAAGCCCAAUACUUGCACGGAACGCUGUGACGUAAAUCUGACAGGCAUAAGCAGGAAGGUCGCGCGA